rnacentral:rRNA from 1 species
UACGGAGGAUCCAAGCGUUGUCCGGAUUUAUUGGGUUUAAAGGGUGCGUAGGCGGAUAAUUAAGUCAGUGGUGAAAUCUUGCGGCUCAACCGUAAAAUUGCCAUUGAAACUGAUUAUCUUGAGUACAGUUGAGGUGGGCGGAAUGUAUCAUGUAGCGGUGAAAUGCUUAGAUAUGAUACAGAACACCUAUUGCGAAAAGCAGCUCACUAAACUGCAACUGACGCUGAGGCACGAAAAGCGUGGGGAUCAAACAGG